CCAAUAGCGUAUAUUAAAGUUGUUGCAGUUAAAAAGCUCGUAGUUGAAUUUCGAGAUCGGUUUAUUGGUCGUGCUAUUGUACGUACUGGUAUUACCGGUUUCUCCUUUCUGACGAACCUUAAUGCCAUUAAUUUGGUGUUUUGGGAAAUCAGGACUGUUACUUUGAAAAAAUUAGAGUGUUUAAAGCAGGCUCACGCUUGAAUACAUUAGCAUGGAAUAACGGAAUAGGACGUUUGAUUCUAUUUUGUUGGUUUCUAGGAUCGACGUAAUGAUUAAUAGGGCUAGUUGGUGGCAUUAGUAUUCAAUUGUCAGAGGUGAAAUUCUUGGAUUUAUUGAAGACUAACUACUGCGAAAGCAUUUGCCCAGGAUGUUUUCAUUAAUCAAGAACGAAAGUUAGGGGAUCGAAGACGAUCAGAUACCGUCGUAGUCUUAACCAUAAACUAUGCCGACUAGGGAUCGGAUGAUGUUAAUUUUUUAAUGACUCAUUCGGCGCCUUACG
rnacentral:rRNA from 1 species